rnacentral:rRNA from 1 species
UACGAAGGGGGCGAGCGUUGUUCGGAAUUACUGGGCGUAAAGGGCGCGCAGGCGGCUCUUCAAGUCAGGCGUGAAAGCCCCGGGCUUAACCUGGGAAUUGCGCUUGGGACUGGAGGGCUUGAGUACGGGAGAGGAGAGUGGAAUUCCCAGUGUAGAGGUGAAAUUCGUAGAUAUUGGGAAGAACACCGGUGGCGAAGGCGGCUCUCUGGACCGUAACUGACGCUGAGGCGCGAAAGCGUGGGGAG